GCUUCCCAGUCUGCAUGAGACAUCACAGCGGGUUCGUACCAGGUUGAUCCAGAGACUCCACUCAGAUAAAGAACGGAGUCCAGAAGUCCCACUUUAUGGAGCUGAACCAGGGAUCCCAGCAAACCCACCAUGGCUCUUUCUCCUCCUCCAGAACCCAGUAAUGCAAUGUUUGGUGCAUCAUCCUGAAAAACACAUGGUUUGAUUUUACAAACAUUUGAUCUUCAGCUGCUACAAAACCAUUUUGUAGGUUAUUUCAAGAAUGUAUAGUCAGGCAGAUAUAUGUAGUGUAAGAUGUUUUACCAGACUGCAGUGUAUCUCAUGGUUCUGCAGGCAUUGCUGAACAGUGUUCCUCCUUCUGAUUCUAAACUCCUCCUCAUUCUUAUUCAGAGAGUGUUUGAUUCUCACCUCACUGUUGGUGACAGACCAUGAACAUCCUCACAUACUGCUAUUUAAUAUAUUUGGAUUUCAUAUAUUCCUGAUUGGAAUAGAACUUAGUCUAAUGUUCAUUUUGGACAGUUAUUCUCAGACUGAUCCAUUUUGUUAUAUAUUUUAAUUGUGUAAGUAAUGCAAUGAAGUGCACUGCUUCAAUAAUUGCAGGAAUCUGAGCAGGAUUACCUUUCCUGGAGUUUGGAUGAACUCAUCUAUAAAACAGUAGAAUUAAUCAGUUAUUCAAAAUAGCAAAUCAGUAACUUCUGAAAGAAUGUUUUCACAGUUUUCACAUCAACAUUAUACAUGUCAAGUGCAAGUGAAUACAAACCUAGACUAAACUAAUGGCCAAAAGUAAAUAAAGGUGACGUUAAGCUAAAUAUAAGUUUUUCAGCUUAAAAGUUAAAAGCUGCUGAACAAUUGAAUCUUUAUAUUGCUGUUAUUUAAAGAUAAAUGUGAUAUGAAAUAAUUUAAAGUUCGUUUAAAUAUAAUAUUAAAUGGCCAUAAUAGAACUUAAAUUCAUCCAUUCUUGGUUCAAACUUGCAGCAGUAAGCAGUAUGUUUCAGACCGUUAUUUAUAGAAUAUUUAAGUGAUAUUGUACAGAUGUUGCAGGAAAAUGUAAAAUGAUGCUUAUUUUUCACCCUCAUACUGAUUAUGUAUUUAUGCACAUUUAUUUGUGUGCAGAUCACUGUUGUUAUUUAAUUGGUAUUAAAUCUAAUUACUGAAAAA